rnacentral:lncRNA from 10 species
GAUACCUGGCUGCUGUCCAGAAAACUGGAGAAUUAGUGUGAGGAAAAACCCCCACAGUUGGUGUUAGAAGUGUUGCGAGUGAAGCAGCCGAGAGCCACGUUGAUAGCAUGCAUCCUUGAUAGGAUUUGAUGAAAAUGGCACCCCAGCCCUGCGGUCAUCCUCCAGAAAAGCCAUUGACAGCAGUUGAAGCAUGAGAAAAUGACCAGGUAGACCUAGGGACAGUCUACAAUAUACCUGAUCACUAUUCCUCAAAACUGCCAAGGCCAUAAAAACAAGGCAAGACUGAACCACGGUCACAGAUCAAAGGAGACUAAGGAGACGUGAUUAAACAUCGUGUGGUAUCCUGGACAUGGGACCUUGGGAGAGAAAAAGGACAUUAGGGAAAAACUGGUGACAUCUGAACAAAGUGUGGAGCUCAGUUAAUAGUCAUGUAUCAGUGUCGGUUCCUUGGUUGUGACAAAUUUACUGUGGCCAUGUAAGAUGUUCACAUUACAGGGACCUAGGUUAGGAGAAUAGGUGAAUUUUGCAACUUUGCUAUAAAUCUAAAACUGUUCUACAGUAAAAGCUUUAUAUUAAGAAAAUAUUAAAAAUCUCUAGGAUUUGGCAAUUGAUUAGGUAAGGAGGGCAAGGGAGAAGGAGGAAUAAAGAUUUUUGUGAAAGUCUUUGGCCUGAUUACCUCGGAAGUUAGCUAUGCGAGUGGACAGAAAUGACAGAAUAUAGGAGGCAGUCUGGCUUGCAAUAGGAAAUAAUGAACUCGUGGUACUAGGGAUAUAUCCAUGAAUGCGAUGUACCGUUUAACAGUUAAAGUAAUAAAAAUGGCCAGAAAGGGCUUUUGGAUUUCAGAUGUUUGGUUUAAAAUGACCUCUAGCCUCACAGCAUUUGGCAUUUAAAUUCUAAUUUAAAAAGAAAGAGGAACUGGAUUAAAAAUAAAGUAGUGAUUGAACUUGUAUAAAUAGCUGGACUCCUGCUCUUGUUUCUAUGUUUCUGUGUGGGUAAAUUUAUCUUUUUGUCAUUAAUGCAUUGCUUGGAGCUUGGAGUAGCUAUCAGCCCCUCUUUAUUUGCAGAAGGACUUAGAGUCAUGUUGCCAAGUGAAACAUGAUUUAAGUGACUCAGCAGCCAGAGCCAGCCCUUUUUCUUUAGCUAGAAAUGCUGGUUGUGUUGACCCAAAUAUACUGGAGCGCAUGUUUUGUUUACUUCAGACAAGAAGUAAGAGCUUUGAGUCAUUCCUUUUUCUACCCUAUUUAUAUUUUACAGCCAGAACUGCCUCAAAAAUACACACAGCCAUUCAUCAGAGGCCUGCGAUGUCUGCUGUGCAUUAACAAUAUAUGAAAUAUGUGAAAUUUAUCAGUGUAGGAUCAAACCACAGGCAAGACCUCACGCCUGCAUAGGUCAUGAACAGGCACUUCACCGAAAAAGAAAUUCAGGUGGCAAUACAUGUGUGAACAAAAUUAAACUUUGCAAAUAACAAAAGAUGUAUAAUUAAACUUGUGAAGAUAGCAAAGAAAUGCAGGAACCAAUGCUGGCAAGAGUAUGAAGAAGAGUACUCUGGCAGGAUUAUAGAUCAACAUAAUAUAGGGGGAGGGCAGCUUGAAAUAUAUAUUCCAGACUUUAAAAUGUAUUUAUCCUUCGUUUCAGUCAGUCCACUUCUAGAGAUUAUCCUAAGGAAACAAUGGGAUAGGCAUAUAAAGAUAUAUGUAAAGAAUGACCAUCUAAGCAUUGUUUAAAAUAGUAAAGCACUGAGGAUAACAUCCAACAAGACAGACACUGGUUGGCUUCAGUGUUGUAGAUGUAGCAAUCAUAAUAGAAAGGCUUGCAUUAAAUUUUUGAAAAAACAUAUUUCAAAAUGCAUUCAUAUAGUCCAGUUUAUACAAAAUGUAUGUGUGCAUGUACACUUCUAAAAGAACAUAUGCUAAAUUUUAAAUGCUUUUAAACUGUAAAUGAAAAUAAAAAUGUUUUAAUUCUAAACCAAAAUGUGGACUCUCAGUGCUAAAUUCUGAGUGAUGUAAACGGUCCUCUCAUAAAUUACUAUCAUUUUUGUAGAGCCUAAAACAUGUUCCCAUCACCACCCAUAUGCUUCCUCUCCAAAAUAAUCCUGAAUUUCUUAAAUAAAA